rnacentral:rRNA from 1 species
UACGGAGGGUGCAAGCAUUAAUCGGAUUUAUUGGGCGUAAAGGGCGCGUAGGCGGGGAGAUAAGUCAGAUGUGAAAUCCCGGGGCUCAACCCCGGAACAGCAUUUGAAACUAUCUCUCUAGAGGAUAGGCGGAGAAAACGGAAUUCCACAAGUAGCGGUGAAAUGCGUAGAUAUGUGGAAGAACACCGGUGGCGAAGGCGGUUUUCUAGCUUAGACCUGACGCUGAGGCGCGAAAGCAAGGGGAUCAAACAGG